GCCUGCAACCCAGGCAUGUACCCUGACUGGGAAUCGAACCUGUGACACUUCGGUUUGCAGCCCGAGCUCAAUCCACUGAGCUACGCCAGCCAGGGAGAUGAUAAUUUUUUAAGUGAAGCUCCCAGGAUGAAUGGGAUGGUUCUGGAGUUGGUCCCCGUUGGGACCACACGCCCAUGAGCGCUGGGAGGCCCGGAGACCACGUGACUGCAUCGUCCCCGGCGACUGGUCGGGCUCGGGAGAGAACAGUUCCUCAGGCAGAGAAGUGAUUCAGCGGAUACAGAAAUAGUUUCUAAAUUCCAAAGGGGACUUGGAUGACGACGCAUUCUGAUGAGUACUUAGUUAAAUUUGGCUAAAUUUGGCAUCCUCUCCUCUGUACCUCUCCCCGAUCCGGGAUGUUACUUCCCUGCGGCUCUGGCGAUGGGUUUCCCUCUUGGGGACGUGACCUUCGUGGAGACAGCUGGCGUGGAGACAGACGGUCACGAUGCUUCCCUGCAGACAGUCCGAAUGCCACGGGCACACGCAGAACACGGGGCAUGUUCGCUGCUUCUCGUCUUCCGCCCACACUCGUCCUGGGGUUUGCUGUGAAUGGAAGAGCUGUUUAACUUGGAAACGCAUCGACUUGUGUUUCGGGGAUUUAAAAGGUCACACAAAAAUCCUUCCCCGGUCGGUGCUGGGGAAGAGACAUAACCCGGCAGAACCAGAGGUCGCUUUCCAAGCUGUGACGAUGGAAAUGUGGUCUGCAGUUAACAGGGACUCGGCACGGAGGGGGCGAGCGUGGGCUAAGGUCAGGCUUCGGGGCCCGAGAUCCAUGGGCGCUUCGGCCCCGGAUCACUGCUGUGUGCGCAUGCGUCGACAACCCGGCCGCUGCGGUGUUUCGCGCGGCUCAUCUGCAGAGCCAGGGACCCGCGGGGAGGGGUCAUGGAGGUCCCUUUGCCGUCAGAUUGUCUUCCAGGAGGAAGACACUGUCCCCUCUCCUCAUCUCCUCUCCCCAGGGCUGGCCGAACACGAGCAGCCAGUCCGGACCCUCCUCCGCUACAGCAGCUGACGGCACAGACUCUAUCAUUUGGGAGGCCAGGGGCGGGUGGGGGUGGGGGGAGACCGGGGAGACAGGGCCCCGCGACUGGGAGACAAUUUAAAAUAAGCAAUCACGGGCUGAAGGAGAGUAUGUUGGCUGUAAAAUGAGCACGGGAAUAAAAGAGAUGGAUGGGAGGUCAAUUCUCCGGUCUCUCUUCUAGGU